AAACUUAGAAUUUUAGUGCAUGUUUGAAUAGGCGGUGAUCGAUAAAAUUACAUUGAUCCACCGUAAUUUUGGUACAAUUUGCACUUUUGAAUUUCACAAAAUUAUAGAACCACUGUGAUUUUGUUCAACUUGAUUACCAUCAAUCAAAAUAUUGAAAGUCAUCCACUGGGCACAAACACACCUUAGUUUUAAUGGAUUUAAUCACAUGAUAUUUUUUAAAAAAAUAAUAUAUCAAGCGUAUUAAUAUAUUGGGCCUAAAUAAUUCACUCACUAGUUAUAAAAAUUUGUCUAAUUGUAUCAAGAGAUUGAGUUCAAGU
rnacentral:lncRNA from 1 species